GACGAACGCUGGCGGCGUGCCUAAUACAUGCAAGUCGAGCGAGCGAAACUAACAGAUUUACUUCGGUAAUGACGUUAGGAAAGCGAGCGGCGGAUGGGUGAGUAACACGUGGGGAACCUGCCCCAUAGUCUGGGACACCACUUGGAAACAGGUGCUAAUACCGGAUAAGAAAGCAGAUCGCAUGAUCAGCUUUUAAAAGGCGGCGUAAGCUGUCGCUAUGGGAUGGCCCCGCGGUGCAUUAGCUAGUUGGUAAGGUAAAGGCUUACCAAGGCGAUGAUGCAUAGCCGAGUUGAGAGACUGAUCGGCCACAUUGGGACUGAGACACGGCCCAAACUCCUACGGGAGGCAGCAGUAGGGAAUCUUCCACAAUGGACGCAAGUCUGAUGGAGCAACGCCGCGUGAGUGAAGAAGGUUUUCGGAUCGUAAAGCUCUGUUGUUGGUGAAGAAGGAUAGAGGUAGUAACUGGCCUUUAUUUGACGGUAAUCAACCAGAAAGUCACGGCUAACUACGUG
rnacentral:rRNA from 1 species